rfam:Delta proteobacterium NaphS2 ctg_1101087566008, whole genome shotgun sequence.
AAAGUCCCACCCGAGCAAAGGCUAGCCACCAGCUCGGUAGUGAAGUCCACGUGCAAGCCGGGCAACCGGAGUACGAAGCUGGACGGAGCAAGAAUCCAGGCUCUGUAUUGAGCCCCGAAAAUGGUAUAGUUGUGGUCAUUGGAUAAGCCUGUGAAUGCAGGCGAAAGCCGACGCCUUGGAGCGCGCGGAAGGCAGCAGACCUGGAUGCGACAUGGCAAGUGUCGAGGUCACCACCGGGGUCUGAGACCA